GCUACCUCAUUUUCAGAAGGAAAUUAGUACAUUAGUGAAAAGUCAUAGGCAAGCCUAAUAGAAUGGUGCAAGGUAUCCAUGAUUAUAUACAUCAAGAGAGUAUUGUAGAGGUUUGUUGAAGCCUUCCAGCAGAGGUUGUCGAGCUUAAAGGGACACCAUAGUCACCAGAAUAACUACAGCUUAUUGCAUUUGUUCUGGUAAG